UACGGAGGAUCCAAGCGUUAUCCGGAUUCAUUGGGUUUAAAGGGUGCGUAGGCGGAAUGAUAAGUCAGUGGUGAAAUCCUUCAGCUUAACUGGAGAACUGCCAUUGAUACUGUCAAUCUUGAGUACAUUUGAUGUGGGCGGAAUGUGUCAUGUAGCGGUGAAAAUGCUUAGAUAUGACACAGAACACCGAUUGCGAAGGCAGCUCACAAAAACUGUAACUGACGCUGAGGCACGAAAGCGUGGGUAUC
rnacentral:rRNA from 1 species